rnacentral:rRNA from 1 species
GGGUUGUGAGGUUAAGCGACUAAGCGUACACGGUGGAUGCCCUGGCAGUCAGAGGCGAUGAAGGGCGUGCUAAUCUGCGAUAAGCGCCGGUAAGGUGAUAUGAACCGUUAUAACCGGCGAUACCCGAAUGGGGAAACCCAGUGUGUUUCGACACACUAUCAUUAACUGAAUCCAUAGGUUAAUGAGGCGAACCGGGGGAACUGAAACAUCUAAGUACCCCGAGGAAAAGAAAUCAACCGAGAUUCCCCCAGUAGCGGCGAGCGAACGGGGAGGAGCCCAGAGCCUGAAUCAGCAUGUGUGUUAGUGGAAGCGUCUGGAAAGGCGCGCGAUACAGGGUGACAGCCCCGUACACAAAAGCGCAUGUGCUGUGAGCUCGAUGAGUAGGGCGGGACACGUGGUAUCCUGUCUGAAUAUGGGGGGACCAUCCUCCAAGGCUAAAUACUCCUGACUGACCGAUAGUGAACCAGUACCGUGAGGGAAAGGCGAAAAGAACCCCGGCGAGGGGAGUGAAAAAGAACCUGAAACCGUGUACGUACAAGCAGUGGGAGCACCCUUUGGGGUGUGACUGCGUACCUUUUGUAUAAUGGGUCAGCGACUUAUAUUCUGUAGCAAGGUUAACCGAAUAGGGGAGCCGGAGGGAAACCGAGUCUUAACCGGGCGUUAAGUUGCAGGGUAUAGACCCGAAACCCGGUGAUCUAGCCAUGGGCAGGUUGAAGGUUGGGUAACACUAACUGGAGGACCGAACCGACUAAUGUUGAAAAAUUAGCGGAUGACCUGUGGCUGGGGGUGAAAGGCCAAUCAAACCGGGAGAUAGCUGGUUCUCCCCGAAAGCUAUUUAGGUAGCGCCUCGUGAAUUCAUCUCCGGGGGUAGAGCACUGUUUCGGCUAGGGGGCCAUCCCGGCUUACCAACCCGAUGCAAACUGCGAAUACCGGAGAAUGUUAUCACGGGAGACACACGGCGGGUGCUAACGUCCGUCGUGAAGAGGGAAACAACCCAGACCGCCAGCUAAGGUCCCAAAGUCAUGGUUAAGUGGGAAACGAUGUGGGAAGGCCCAGACAGCCAGGAUGUUGGCUUAGAAGCAGCCAUCAUUUAAAGAAAGCGUAAUAGCUCACUGGUCGAGUCGGCCUGCGCGGAAGAUGUAACGGGGCUAAACCAUGCACCGAAGCUGCGGCAGCGACGCUGAUGCGUUGUUGGGUAGGGGAGCGUUCUGUAAGCCUGCGAAGGUGGCCUGUGAGGGUUGCUGGAGGUAUCAGAAGUGCGAAUGCUGACAUAAGUAACGAUAAAGCGGGUGAAAAGCCCGCUCGCCGGAAGACCAAGGGUUCCUGUCCAACGUUAAUCGGGGCAGGGUGAGUCGACCCCUAAGGCGAGGCCGAAAGGCGUAGUCGAUGGGAAACGGGUUAAUAUUCCCGUACUUGGUGUUACUGCGAAGGGGGGACGGAGAAGGCUAUGUUGGCCGGGCGACGGUUGUCCCGGUUUAAGCGUGUAGGUGUGUGUUCCAGGUAAAUCCGGUUCACUUUAACACUGAGGCGUGAUGACGAGGCACUACGGUGCUGAAGCAACAAAUGCCCUGCUUCCAGGAAAAGCCUCUAAGCAUCAGGUAACAUCAAAUCGUACCCCAAACCGACACAGGUGGUCAGGUAGAGAAUACCAAGGCGCUUGAGAGAACUCGGGUGAAGGAACUAGGCAAAAUGGUGCCGUAACUUCGGGAGAAGGCACGCUGACACGUAGGUGAAGUGAUUUACUCAUGGAGCUGAAGUCAGUCGAAGAUACCAGCUGGCUGCAACUGUUUAUUAAAAACACAGCACUGUGCAAACACGAAAGUGGACGUAUACGGUGUGACGCCUGCCCGGUGCCGGAAGGUUAAUUGAUGGGGUCAGCGCAAGCGAAGCUCCUGAUCGAAGCCCCGGUAAACGGCGGCCGUAACUAUAACGGUCCUAAGGUAGCGAAAUUCCUUGUCGGGUAAGUUCCGACCUGCACGAAUGGCGUAAUGAUGGCCAGGCUGUCUCCACCCGAGACUCAGUGAAAUUGAACUCGCUGUGAAGAUGCAGUGUACCCGCGGCAAGACGGAAAGACCCCGUGAACCUUUACUAUAGCUUGACACUGAACAUUGAGCCUUGAUGUGUAGGAUAGGUGGGAGGCUUUGAAGUGUGGACGCCAGUCUGCAUGGAGCCGGCCUUGAAAUACCACCCUUUAAUGUUUGAUGUUCUAACGUGGACCCGUGAUCCGGGUUGCGGACAGUGUCUGGUGGGUAGUUUGACUGGGGCGGUCUCCUCCUAAAGAGUAACGGAGGAGCACGAAGGUUGGCUAAUCCUGGUCGGACAUCAGGAGGUUAGUGCAAUGGCAUAAGCCAGCUUGACUGCGAGCGUGACGGCGCGAGCAGGUGCGAAAGCAGGUCAUAGUGAUCCGGUGGUUCUGAAUGGAAGGGCCAUCGCUCAACGGAUAAAAGGUACUCCGGGGAUAACAGGCUGAUACCGCCCAAGAGUUCAUAUCGACGGCGGUGUUUGGCACCUCGAUGUCGGCUCAUCACAUCCUGGGGCUGAAGUAGGUCCCAAGGGUAUGGCUGUUCGCCAUUUAAAGUGGUACGCGAGCUGGGUUUAGAACGUCGUGAGACAGUUCGGUCCCUAUCUGCCGUGGGCGCUGGAGAACUGAGGGGGGCUGCUCCUAGUACGAGAGGACCGGAGUGGACGCAUCACUGGUGUUCGGGUUGUCAUGCCAAUGGCACUGCCCGGUAGCUAAAUGCGGAAGAGAUAAGUGCUGAAAGCAUCUAAGCACGAAACUUGCCCCGAGAUGAGUUCUCCCUGAGACUUAGAGUCUCCUGAAGGAACGUUGAAGACGACGACGUUGAUAGGCCGGGUGUGUAAGCGCAGCGAUGCGUUGAGCUAACCGGUACUAAUGAACCGUGAGGCUUAACCUUACAACGCCGAAG